rnacentral:lncRNA from 1 species
CCCACAUGAGAGGUGAUGGCUUGGUCUAGGAUGGUAGCAGCGGACAUGGAGCGAAGUGGUUGUAUUCUAGACAGAAUACAAAGGUAGAGUGAACUGGCCGUGCUAAGGGAAUACCUGAGGAAUUGGGAGAAAGAGUGAAGGAUGCCCUCAGGAUUUAUGACCAAAGCAACUGCAGUGAAUUUUGGAGUUGUGACUUAAUGUUGGCACUGUCACUUCCCAACUGUUGGGAAGCAAUGUGGGUGGAGCAGAUUUGGGAGUAGGAGGGUAAGGUAAAAGCUUAUAUUGCGACAAAGCAAAAAUGUUGAAAGAAAUUACCAAGUUAGUUUUUAUUUUUUACCAUGUACUUGAUAUUAGAAAUGUCUCUUUUAGCCCUUGCAUCAGACACAGUUUCUAUAAAUAAACAGUUUCCCUAAAACUGAAGCUUGCACCUGCUUGAGAGUUGGUGGAUUAUUGGUGGCGGGUCCGCUGAGCUUUUAAAAUUUUAAGUCAAAUUAUCAUGUUCAUAAUACUUUUCCUUCCUGACUUUAAAAAGUUGAAAAUACAAUUUCAGUGAAAGACGACAGUAGCCCCUCUGAAAUAUUCUACAGUUAACACAACCGAGGAGAAAGCUCACACAAACGUAGCCAUCCUCCCCACUGUGGGGAGUUCGUCUCAGGGUCUUCUGGGGCCUGGCCUAGCCUGGCCUUCUCUCUGACAAGGUGUUACUAAAAGUUUACCAUGAGAAACCUGGAGAUUCCUUUGAAGACAAAAUCACAGCUGUUUCUUACGCUGCUCCACUUCCUGCUCUUCCUUGGAUGAAGCAGUUGAGGAACAGAACUUUCACGGUCCCGGAAGCUCCAGCCUUUGAGCUUGGCCUUGGAGCGAAGAGAGAGGAAUUGGGCCAGCUGUUUGCCCAGGUCUGAUCAAACGUGAAUCUGUGGUUCUCGGCUGACAUCACGUUUUCUUCAGCUUUAUUUGUAACUUGAUGAAGGUGGACCCAAGAAGAUCUGAAAACCUUUAUAGUUUAAUAUUGAGUUGUUUGAGAAGAUCUCUCCUUUUCAUGAGCAUUCUGCUGAAUUCAGUGCAAGCAGCUUGCUGUUUCUUUGCUGCAGGCCUGUGCUGUUAUGUGCCUGUGAUUUCACUAACCUUUUGGCUCAGAAAAUGAAGAGCUGAAAAGAAAAACAUCCUAGAAGCUGUCAAAAAUUCAAUUUAAUAUCAUGGGCUCUAAAUGAUGACAUUUCUGAAAAAUCAUUUUCAUUUUCAAAAGCUUGACAGGUUUCCUAAUUUUUAGUUGUCUGUAGACAUAGUAAAUAAAGAUCAUGAACAUUCAGAGCUUUACUCUUGAUUUCUGGGGGUUACUUUUUGUUGUUGUUGUUGUUUGUGUUUUUGUUUGUUUUGAGGAAAAUUAGCCCUGAGCUAACAUCUGUGGCCAAUCCUUCUCCUUUUGCUGAGGACGACUGGCCCUGAACUAACAUCUGUGCCCAUCUUCCUCUACUUUAUAUGUGGGACGCCUGUCACAGCAUGGCUUGAUAAGUGAUCCGUAGGUC